UGUGACGUGAGCAACGUGUCUGAAAGUUGUAAGUCUUCUAGUAGCUGUGCCAAGAGAAAUCUCAGUCAUUACAAAUCUCGCAGAGACCGUGAUGAUGACCGAGAAGCAACUUUUGGACCCGUCCCCAUCCUCCACCUCGGGGACAGCAGGUGAGAAUAUGGCCAUGAAGCCUUCAGUUCAAGUCCAAAUAGUUAACCCACCUGACACACUGCAAAUCAAUACAUGGCAUGACUUCACACUAUAAUUAAGGUUUAACAGUAAGCAGUAGCAAAGAAUGCAAAGCCCUCAAACGUUGUGUAAUACCUAUAUUGUCAUAUUAUUAUUUCAAUGAACAGAUAAGAGCAAUUCAUUUGUGAUUUAUUGUAUAUCUGCAUAGACUUUUUCUGUUUUGUUUAUGGCCCGAGACAAGUUACUUGUGUGUGUUAACAUAUGUGUACUGACACUUUCACAUAAAAAAAACACUUUUAUGAUUGUGAUUUCUGUAUGCUAACAGGUCCAAAGAUUUGGAUCAUGGGCAGCAGCUACAUUCGUCGUGGGGAAGAGAGGGCCAGAGAGACCAUGGGGGCCACUGGUUUGGCUGGGGUGGACUUCGAUGGCACGGACUCCUUCCUUUCUUCAACCGGUCCCUUUAGAGGAAGAGCAGCCCCGGAUAUCCUGCUGAUUCACUGCGGCGGGAACGACUUGGGAUGCAGGAAGAGCAUCGAUCUCGUCGCAGCGAUGAAGCAGGAUCUGCAACAUCUCUAUCGGCGUUUCCCUCAGAUGGUCAUCGUGCUGUCUGACAUCACCCAGAGACGUCGGUGGAGAUCGGGCCAUCCGGGGAAAAUUGACAAGUCCCGUAAAUGGGUGAACAGUGUCAUGGCUACCUUUGUCUUGGGAAUGCAGGGGGUAUCGUGCAUCACCCUCAAAUUGAAUUUGACAAGUCUGAACUGUUUCUUAGGGAUGAAGUUCAUUUAUCCACUAGGGGUAAUGAUAUUUUUUUAAAUAAUUUAGCUGAAGGCUUGAGAGUCUUAAUCCAGUAGGGGUGAUUCUGGAUUAAACCUCUCAACAUGUUUUUAACAUGAAACAGUUAAAGAAUGUUACAUUCUUUUGGGGUUGUGUAUGCGCAUUUUGUCUUUAGAUUAAUACAUCAUCACUUUGGUAGACAUAACACUGUUCAAUAGUCACUGCUCUCCCAUCCCCUUCCUCCCCUCCGUGCCAUUGAUGUAUCACCCUAGCCAUCCACCCCAUGGUCUCUCUCUUUUCUUCCCCACGACGAAUGUAGCUAGCUUGAGAGGAGAUUUUGGGUCAGCUGCCUUGUUCCCCCUUCCUGUGUGUUUGUGUCUCCCUUUUCCCCUCUGUGUCUGUCUGUGCUGUUUGUCUCCACCUGGAAGUGGCAGGGGGCGUGUCUAGAGAAACUAGGUCAAGAGGCGUGGCCAUUCAUCCCUGCUCUGUCGCUGGCACAGCUGAUGCACAGCUGAUGCACAUUCCAUGAUUCACACCUGCAGUAUUUAUACCCGGGAUGUUCACCUCUUCAGCGCCAGAUUGUUACAUACUCCUAUGUGAUCCUGCUGUUACCUGCUUCCUACCUGCCGUGCUCUGCCGUGCUGCCUGCCUCACGCCACUCAGACACAACCACCUGCUUCUCCUGGAUUCUACUCAGAACUUCUUCUGAUCUGCCACUGCCUGGUUCCCUCAAGCUGCAGUCCA